rnacentral:tRNA from 1 species
UAGCUCAGUGGUAGAGCAUUUGCCUAGGAAGCGCAAGGCCCUGGGUUCAGUCCCCAG